ACCAAUCAGCUUGGUAAUCAAACAUCAUCAGAGAUCCAUCUGACUAUAGGAGGUGAUCAACUGGUUGGUGCUCAAGUCAUCGUGAAGGUCCUGGGAAUCAUUCUGCUCGUCACUACUUUGCUCAUCUUUGAGUGCUGGUUGAAAUCAAGACGCUGCACCAAACCACAGGAGGACGCAGUAGGAGACGAC